UCUCCGUAGGUGAACCUUCGGAGGGAUCAUUACUGAGUGAGGGCUCACGCCCGACCUCCAACCCCAUGUGAACCGCAACUGUUGCUUCGGGGGCGACCCCGCCGUUUCGGCGGUGGCGCUCCCGGUGGCCAAUUAUUAAACUCUGCAUCUCUUGCGUCGGAGUCUUAAAGAAAUUUAAACAAAACUUUCAACAACGGAUCUCUUGGUUCUGGCAUCGAUGAAGAACGCAGC
rnacentral:misc_RNA from 1 species